rnacentral:lncRNA from 1 species
AUGGAGUUUCUCACUACUGCCCAGGCUGGAGUGCAAUGGCAAAAUCUUGGCUCACUGCAACCUCAACCUCCCAGGUUCAAGCGAUUCUUCUGCCUCAGCUUCCUGAGCAACUGAGAUUACAGCCUUAUUUUAACCUCGACUUCGCUGAGAAAAAUGUAUUAACAUUUCUACAAUGUGAACAUCUAACUCAACUUAGAUUCUUUUGAAACCCCUUUAGGAUGCUCAGAGACCUAUGUGUGGGUGCUUUCAAAUGUAUACAUUAUCAAUCGAACGACUCAAGAUGGCACGGUGAGAACAACCCAGGAUUGAAGCUCUCAGUGAACACGCGGAGGGUGAGUCAGGGCUGCAUUUCCAGACGGAUCUUUGUUGCACACAGAACAGGGAAAUUCCCAGGUAUAAAAGAGAUGUGGGACACCAGCGCAGCGGUUUUGGCUGGUGCAGCUGACAGCCGGUGCAGCCAGCAGCCGGUGCUACAGCGCAGCGGCGCUCCACAGCGCUCUGCACAAAGUGCACUGGUCCGGGUGCCCUGUUUAACCGGCAAUCUAAGACUUGAGGUAUGUGUUAGAUAUAUGCAUUAGGAAAUAGUAAGUAUAAAGUUGAAUAUACAUCUCUGGAGUUCAGGAGAUAAGUCUGUGCUGGAGACAUAAAUGUGAAAAUUAUUAGAAUAAAAACAAUAUUAGUGAUAGUGAGCCUUGAUUAAAUACCUCAGAUAUAGACCUAGAACAAUCUGUGUUUAAAGGUUAGAAAAAUGGGAGAGAUCAGCACAAAUUUUUUAGAAAAAGUAGAAAGUGAUGCAGGAGGAGAAUUAUGCAUUGGAAGAAUUCAAUGA